rnacentral:rRNA from 1 species
AGUGAACGCUGGCGGCAGGCCUAACACAUGCAAGUCGAACGGCAGCACAGUAAGAGCUUGCUCUUACGGGUGGCGAGUGGCGGACGGGUGAGGAAUACAUCGGCAUCUACUUUUUCGUGGGGGAUAACGUAGGUAAACUUACGCUAAUACCUCAUACGACCUACGGGUGAAAGCAGGGGAUCUUCGGACCUUGCGCGAUUGAAUGAGCCGAUGUCGGAUUAGCUAGUUGGCGGGGUAAAGGCCCACCAAGGCGACGAUCCGUAGCUGGUCUGAGAGGAUGAUCAGCCACCCUGGAACUGAGACACGGUCCAGACUCCUACGGGAGGCAGCAGUGGGGAAUAUUGGACAAUGGGCGCAAGCCUGAUCCAGCCAUACCGCGUGGGUGAAGAAGGACUUCGGGUUGUAAAGCCCUUUUGUUGGGAAAGAAAAGCAGCAGGUUAAUACCCCGCUGUUCUGACGGUACCCAAAGAAUAAGCACCGGCUAACUUCGUG